AGCGGCGGACGGGUGAGUAACGCGUGGGUAACCUGCCCUGUACACACGGAUAACAUACCGAAAGGUAUGCUAAUACGAGAUAAUAUGCUUUUAUCGCAUGGUAGAAGUAUCAAAGCUCCGGCGGUACAGGAUGGACCCGCGUCUGAUUAGCUAGUUGGUAAGGUAACGGCUUACCAAGGCGACGAUCAGUAGCCGACCUGAGAGGGUGAUCGGCCACAUUGGAACUGAGACACGGUCCAAACUCCUACGGGAGGCAGCAGUGGGGAAUAUUGCACAAUGGGCGAAAGCCUGAUGCAGCAACGCCGCGUGAGCGAUGAAGGCCUUCGGGUCGUAAAGCUCUGUCCUCAAGGAAGAUAAUGACGGUACUUGAGGAGGAAGCCCCGGCUAACUACGUGCCAGCAGCCGCGGUAAUACGUAGGGGGCUAGCGUUAUCCGGAAUUACUGGGCGUAAAGGGUGCGUAGGUGGUUUCUUAAGUCAGAGGUGAAAGGCUACGGCUCAACCGUAGUAAGCCUUUGAAACUGGGAAACUUGAGUGCAGGAGAGGAGAGUGGAAUUCCUAGUGUAGCGGUGAAAUGCGUAGAUAUUAGGAGGAACACCAGUUGCGAAGGCGGCUCUCUGGACUGUAACUGACACUGAGGCACGAAAGCGUGGGGAGCAAACAGGAUUAGAUACCCUGGUAGUCCACGCCGUAACCGAUGAGUACUAGCUGU
rnacentral:rRNA from 1 species